rnacentral:rRNA from 1 species
AGUGAACGCUGGCGGUAGGCCUAACACAUGCAAGUCGAACGGCAGCACAGUAAGAGCUUGCUCUUACGGGUGGCGAGUGGCGGACGGGUGAGGAAUACAUCGGAAUCUACUUUUUCGUGGGGGAUAACGUAGGGAAACUUACGCUAAUACCGCAUACGACCUCCGGGUGAAAGCAGGGGAUCUUCGGACCUUGCGCGAUUGAAUGAGCCGAUGUCGGAUUAGCUAGUUGGCGGGGUAAAGGCCCACCAAGGCGACGAUCCGUAGCUGGUCUGAGAGGAUGGUCAGCCAGCUUGGAACUGAGAAACGGUCCAGACUCCUACGGGAAGAAGCAGUGGGGAAUAUUGGACAAUGGGGGAAAGCCUGAUCCAGCCAUACCGCGUGGGUGAAGAAGGCGUUCGGGUUGUAAAGCCCUUUUGUUGGGAAAGAAAAGCAGCAGGUUAAUACCCCGCUGUUCUGACGGUACCCAAAGAAUAAGCACCGGCUAACUUCGUG